AACGCUGGCGGCGUGCUUAACACAUGCAAGUCGAACGGAAAGGCCCUGCUUUUGUGGGGUGCUCGAGUGGCGAACGGGUGAGUAACACGUGAGUAACCUGCCCUUGACUUUGGGAUAACUUCAGGAAACUGGGGCUAAUACCGGAUAGGAGCUCCUGCUGCAUGGUGGGGGUUGGAAAGUUUCGGCGGUUGGGGAUGGACUCGCGGCUUAUCAGCUUGUUGGUGGGGUAGUGGCUUACCAAGGCUUUGACGGGUAGCCGGCCUGAGAGGGUGACCGGCCACAUUGGGACUGAGAUACGGCCCAGACUCCUACGGGAGGCAGCAGUGGGGAAUAUUGCACAAUGGGCGGAAGCCUGACGCAGCAACGCCGCGUGCGGGAUGACGGCCUUCGGGUUGUAAACCGCUUUCGCCUGUGACGAAGCGUGAGUGACGGUAAUGGGUAAAGAAGCACCGGCUAACUACGUG
rnacentral:rRNA from 1 species